rnacentral:rRNA from 1 species
AGCAGCAGUGGGGAAUAUUGCACAAUGGGCGAAAGCCUGAUGCAGCCAUGCCGCGUGUAUGAAGAAGGCCUUCGGGUUGUAAAGUACUUUCAGUUGUGAGGAAGGGGGUGUCGUUAAUAGCGGCAUCUCUUGACGUUAGCAACAGAAGAAGCACCGGCUAACUCCGUGCCAGCAGCCGCGGUAAUACGGAGGGUGCGAGCGUUAAUCGGAAUUACUGGGCGUAAAGCGCAUGCAGGUGGUUCAUUAAGUCAGAUGUGAAAGCCCGGGGCUCAACCUCGGAACUGCAUUUGAAACUGGUGAACUAGAGUACUGUAGAGGGGGGUAGAAUUUCAGGUGUAGCGGUGAAAUGCGUAGAGAUCUGAAGGAAUACCAGUGGCGAAGGCGGCCCCCUGGACAGAUACUGACACUCAGAUGCGAAAGCGUGGGGAGCAAACAGGAUUAGAUACCCUGGUAGUCCACGCCGUAAACGAUGUCUACUUGGAGGUUGUGGCCUUGAGCCGUGGCUUUCGGAGCUAACGCGUUAAGUAGACCGCCUGGGGAGUACGGUCGCAAGAUUAAAACUCAAAUGAAUUGACGGGGGCCCGCACAAGCGGUGGAGCAUGUGGUUUAAUUCGAUGCAACGCGAAGAACCUUACCUACUCUUGACAUCCAGAGAAGCCAGCGGA